GGUAUGGUGCACGCAGGGAGCCAGAGAGGGCGGCCGGCAGGACAAGCUAUCGUAGCGGAGGUCGAGGACGCCAUCGAUGUGUACUUCAAAAACUCCAUUCCCGUUGAUGACGUCACAGGGCCACCACAGACGAAUUACAAGAGAAUACAGGCGGCCACGGUCAGGUUUAGCAGGUCGCGGCCGGUCAUCCCCCCGCUCCUUGAGCUACAACUAAUCCAAUUAGGGAACAAGCUGACCGUCGGAGAAGCUGAGGUAGCGCGGUCCAGGUUUCGCCGCUCAGUCGCACCUGCGUUUGAUCCCUUUUCAG
rnacentral:lncRNA from 1 species